CUACGGGGCGCAGCAGUGAGGAAUAUUGCACGAUGGGGGGAACCCUGAUGCAGCAACGCCGCGUGGAGGAUGACGCAUUUCGGUGUGUAAACUCCUUUUAUAUGUCAAGAAAAUGACGGUAGCAUAUGAAUAAGCACCGGCUAACUCCGUGCCAGCAGCCGCGGUAAUACGGAGGGGGCAAGCGUUACUCGGAAUCACUGGGCGUAAAGGACGCGUAGGCGGGUUGGAAAGUCAGGUGUGAAAUCCUACAGCUUAACUGUAGAACUGCACUUGAAACUUCUAAUCUAGAGUAUGGGAGGGGGGGAUGGAAUUAGUGGUGUAGGGGUGAAAUCCGUAGAUAUCACUAGGAAUACCUAAAGCGAAGGCGAUCUCCUGGAACAUUACUGACGCUAAGGCGUGAAAGCGUGGGGAGCAAACAGGAUUAGAUACCCCUGUAGUC
rnacentral:rRNA from 1 species